GGAGCAGCGUGCAGAGCAGCGGCCGGGUUGUGCUCCCGCCUCGGAGCCCCCGGCCCGGGGGAGAGGGAGAGGCCGCUAGCCUGGUCUAUGUCUUUUUCUGACUCCAGUGCAACCUUCCUGCUGAACGAGGGUUCAGCCGACUCCUAUACCAGCCGCCCAUCUCUGGACUCAGACGUCUCCCUGGAGGAGGACCGGGAGAGUGCCCGGCGUGAAGUAGAGAGCCAGGCUCAGCAGCAGCUCGAAAGGGCCAAGCACAAACCUGUGGCAUUUGCGGUGAGGACCAAUGUCAGCUACUGUGGCGUACUGGAUGAGGAGUGCCCAGUCCAGGGCUCUGGAGUCAACUUUGAGGCCAAAGAUUUUCUGCACAUUAAAGAGGUGAUCGACCCCCCUACUUCCAGAAGCCUCUAACACUUCAUUUUCUUGCUCUUGCUCCAGAUCCCAAUGCUUCUGACUUCAAUCCUCAGUCUAAUUCCCCAAGCUAAUCAGCUCUUCUCCUUAACACACCUGUCUACCCCUCAUAUCUAAGAUCUCAUCCCCAGGGUCU
rnacentral:sRNA from 1 species